rnacentral:rRNA from 1 species
GACGAACGCUGGCGGCGUGCUUAACACAUGCAAGUCGAACGGAAAGGCCCUGCUCUUGUUGGGUGCUCGAGUGGCGAACGGGUGAGUAACACGCGUGUAACCUGUCCUUGUCUGUGGGAUAACUUCAGGAAACUGGGGCUAAAACCGGAUAGGAGCUCCUGCUGCAUGGUGGGGGUUGGAAAGUUUCGGCGGUUGGGGAUGGACUCGAGGCUUAUCAGCUUGUUGGUGGGGUAGUGGCUGACCAAGGCUUUGACGGGUAGCCGGCCUGAGAGGGUGACCGGCCACAUUGGGACUGAGAUACGGCCCAGACCCCUACGUGACGCAGCGGUGGGGAAUAUUGCACAAUGGGCGGAAGCCUGAUGCAGCAACGCCGCGUUCGGAAUGACGGCCUUCGGGUUGUAAACCGAUUUCGCCUGUGACGAAGCGUGAGUGACGGUAAUUGGUAAAGAAGCACCGGCUAACUACGUG